UACGUAGGGUGCAAGCGUUGUCCGGAAUUAUUGGGCGUAAAGAGCUCGUAGGCGGUUUGUCGCGUCUGCUGUGAAAACUCAGGGCUUAACCCUGAGCCUGCAGUGGGUACGGGCAGACUAGAGUGUGGUAGGGGAGAUCGAAUUCCUGGUGUAGCGGUGGAAUGCGCAGGAAUAUCAGGAGGAACACCGGUGGCGAAGGCGGAUCUCUGGGCCAUAACUGACGUGAGGAGCGAAAGCAUGGGGAGCGAACAGG
rnacentral:rRNA from 1 species